rfam:Triticum aestivum genome assembly, contig: Triticum_aestivum_CS42_TGACv1_scaffold_433473_5DL
UGCAAUCGGUGAUGUAAUCGUUUAUUCAUGCUGAGUUCCUCUGUGAUUAUCUCAACAACAAUCACCAUCUUUCGACUGAGAUUGCA